UCCUCCCAAAUCCCCCUCCUUCCUAUAGGACAGCUUUCCCCUCCUAACCUUGGCGACUUGCCUACGGUUUUGCCGUAGUAUGCUUGUCUCUGCUCUUCACAAAUAAACCCUUUAUUUUUGUUUUGUUUUGGUUUUGGGGGGAGGGGGCUGGUAAAAUAAUUGGCAGUUUUCUUUUGAAGGUUAACUUGAUGAUGAGAGGUGGGAUCCAGAGGAGACCCCCGACCACUUCGGAGGCUGAUUGCAAGGCUGCUAGAAGUAGGAAUUUCACCUUUUUAGAUGUAUCUUUUUCUGAAGACAUCGUGAUCAACUUUUAGCAGUUUCUGGACAACGUAUCUCAAUAAUGGACUGGUUUUCCAAAAGACUGAAAGCAAAAUAACUUGAACCUCUGAUAUUAUUAUCAUAUCUUAUUUUAGUAUAUGUGCUGCUGAAGCGAGCAAUAUUAUUAUAUCUUAAAGGAAGACCAAGUAAAGUACAUUGAACCAAA